rnacentral:rRNA from 1 species
AUAAUGGGUCAGCGACUUAUAUUCUGUAGCAAGGUUAACCGAAUAGGGGAGCCGAAGGGAAACCGAGUCUUAACUGGGCGUUAAGUUGCAGGGUAUAGACCCGAAACCCGGUGAUCUAGCCAUGGGCAGGUUGAAGGUUGGGUAACACUAACUGGAGGACCGAACCGACUAAUGUUGAAAAAUUAGCGGAUGACUUGUGGCUGGGGGUGAAAGGCCAAUCAAACCGGGAGAUAGCUGGUUCUCCCCGAAAGCUAUUUAGGUAGCGCCUCGUGAAUUCAUCUCCGGGGGUAGAGCACUGUUUCGGCAAGGGGGUCAUCCCGACUUACCAACCCGAUGCAAACUGCGAAUACCGGAGAAUGUUAUCACGGGAGACACACGGCGGGUGCUAACGUCCGUCGUGAAGAGGGAAACAACCCAGACCGCCAGCUAAGGUCCCAAAGUCAUGGUUAAGUGGGAAACGAUGUGGGAAGGCCCAGACAGCCAGGAUGUUGGCUUAGAAGCAGCCAUCAUUUAAAGAAAGCGUAAUAGCUCACUGGUCGAGUCGGCCUGCGCGGAAGAUGUAACGGGGCUAAACCAUGCACCGAAGCUGCGGCAGCGACGCUGAUGCGUUGUUGGGUAGGGGAGCGUUCUGUAAGCCUGCGAAGGUGUGCUGUGAGGCAUGCUGGAGGUAUCAGAAGUGCGAAUGCUGACAUAAGUAACGAUAAAGCGGGUGAAAAGCCCGCUCGCCGGAAGACCAAGGGUUCCUGUCCAACGUUAAUCGGGGCAGGGUGAGUCGACCCCUAAGGCGAGGCCGAAAGGCGUAGUCGAUGGGAAACAGGUUAAUAUUCCUGUACUUGGUGUUACUGCGAAGGGGGGACGGAGAAGGCUAUGUUGGCCGGGCGACGGUUGUCCCGGUUUAAGCGUGUAGGCUGGUUUUCCAGGCAAAUCCGGAAAAUCAAGGCUGAGGCGUGAUGACGAGGCACUACGGUGCUGAAGCAACAAAUGCCCUGCUUCCAGGAAAAGCCUCUAAGCAUCAGGUAACAUCAAAUCGUACCCCAAACCGACACAGGUGGUCAGGUAGAGAAUACCAAGGCGCUUGAGAGAACUCGGGUGAAGGAACUAGGCAAAAUGGUGCCGUAACUUCGGGAGAAGGCACGCUGAUAUGUAGGUGAAGUCCCUCGCGGAUGGAGCUGAAAUCAGUCGAAGAUACCAGCUGGCUGCAACUGUUUAUUAAAAACACAGCACUGUGCAAACACGAAAGUGGACGUAUACGGUGUGACGCCUGCCCGGUGCCGGAAGGUUAAUUGAUGGGGUUAGCGCAAGCGAAGCUCUUGAUCGAAGCCCCGGUAAACGGCGGCCGUAACUAUAACGGUCCUAAGGUAGCGAAAUUCCUUGUCGGGUAAGUUCCGACCUGCACGAAUGGCGUAAUGAUGGCCAGGCUGUCUCCACCCGAGACUCAGUGAAAUUGAACUCGCUGUGAAGAUGCAGUGUACCCGCGGCAAGACGGAAAGACCCCGUGAACCUUUACUAUAGCUUGACACUGAACAUUGAGCCUUGAUGUGUAGGAUAGGUGGGAGGCUUUGAAGUGUGGACGCCAGUCUGCAUGGAGCCGACCUUGAAAUACCACCCUU